UUUACCAAAAACAUCACCUCUGGCAUUGAUAGUAUCAGAGGCACUGCCUGCCCAGUGACACCAGUUCAACGGCCGCGGUAUCCUGACCGUGCAAAGGUAGCAUAAUCACUUGUUCUCUAAAUAGGGACUUGUAUGAAUGGCCACACGAGGGUUUAACUGUCUCUUACUUUUAAUCAGUGAAAUUGACCUUCCCGUGAAGAGGCGGGAAUAUAGUAAUAAGACGAGAAGACCCUAUGGAGCUUUAAUUAACCAGGUUACGAAAAUUAAAACUCACUCCUACAGGAGAUAAUUACAUAUUUUCGGUGAUCUGGCAAUUUAGGUUGGGGUGACCUCGGAAUACAGAAAAACUUCCGAGUGAUUAUAAUAUAGACCUACAAGUCGACACAAUACAUCACUUAUUGAUCCAAACCAUUGAUCAACGGAACAAGUUACCCUAGGGAUAACAGCGCAAUCCUAUUCUAGAGUCCAUAUCGACAAUAGGGCUUACGACCUCGAUGUUGGAUCAGGACAUCCUAAUGGUGCAGCAGCUAU
rnacentral:rRNA from 1 species